GAUAAAGUGGCUGAGGUAGGCGGUAGAUUGUAAAUCUAUUAACGGGGUUAUGAACCUCCUUUAUCA
rnacentral:tRNA from 1 species